UACGAAGGGGGCUAGCGUUGCUCGGAAUUACUGGGCGUAAAGCGCACGUAGGCGGAUUGUUAAGUCGGGGGUGAAAUCCCGGGGCUCAACCUCGGAACUGCCUUUGAUACUGUUGGUCUUGAGUCCGGAAGAGGUGGGUGGAAUUCCUAGUGUAGAGGUGAAAUUCGUAGAUAUUAGGAAGAACACCGGUGGCGAAGGCGGCCCACUGGUCCGGUACUGACGCUGAGGCACGAAAGCGUGGGGAGCAAACAGG
rnacentral:rRNA from 1 species